GGAGGGGUACCGAAGUGGCCAACCGGGCGUGGCUGUAAACCACGUGGCUUUCGCCUUCGGGGGUUCGAAUCCCUCCCCCUCCA
rnacentral:tRNA from 1 species